GGAGAUUCAGACAGCAACUCCUUCGAUCUUCCCUCUUCUUCUUCCUCGUUCAUUGAGAUUGAGGCCAGCGAACCUAGCCGUCAACGAGAGCAGGAGCUCUGCUCACUGCUGCUGUAACGUUCGCUGGAAACCCCUGCGUUGAGGUGCAGAUCGCUAAACCAAGGCUCCCUUGUUGAGCGUCCAAGCUCCUCCUCUUUCCCUUUUUCUUUUCGUCAAUCAUCAUGAGGCUUCCUUCUCCUUCAGUCACUUCGCCGUCGAUAGGUGUGUGAAUUCCAGCCAUCGCCAUCAAGUCUUCAUCUUCUCUGUUCGGACGUCGGGUUCCUCUUUCCUCUUCGAGCAGCAGCAAUAAUCUGGUGCGUAACCUUUCUGGUGUGGAUGUUGGGUGCAUCAGACUUUUCCCUCCCUUAUUUCAAUGUCGACUACCUCUCUUCUCCUUCCUCAUAUUCACGCGGUGACACUUUCUUCUCCAUAUGGUUCUGAAUCCGCUGAUUUGUGUGUACCGUUGGAGCUUUAAGCUUUGCCUUUCAUUUGUUUCAACUAAUCAGGAUGUUUGGAAGAAGGGAAGCUCAAAUAGAGUCAUAAGAAAUGAGUUUGGAGCCUUGAGGAUACUACAGAUUGUAUAGUUGAACUCGUGACUCAAGAUAUCCACGGAGGAGUUUUAUUGCUGAGUUGAAGCAGAAGAAUUAUUUUAGUCAAAUUCUAAUUUGAUAAAGAAUUUGAACUUAUACCUAUGUUGGCGUCUGGCAUUAGGUGCUCCACAUAGACUACAGGCAGGAUCCUCACACUUCUUUUAAAAUUGAAUAUCUAAUUUAAUAUUGUAAAAAUUUUAAUUACUCUAUUAGUGUGUUUGACGUAUUAAUUUCAAAGUUUCUCCGAUUGCGGCUUAAGGGAUAUGAGUUUUGUGCCCAUAUCCUGUGCCAGUCAUACCUAAUUUUGGGGUGUGACAUUUGUCUUCCGCAUAUUAGGGCUAUUAUGCUAUAUCGCAUCGAUGCAAAUCUUCUAAACAAGAGAUCAUUCAAGGAAUACAAGGAUGCCAUGGAAUGAAAUGUAAUACAGUGCCCCUGACAAAUCAAGAACAAUUAUGAUUACGGCUAUUGUGUGAUGAGGUAUGCUAAAGACAUCGUCACUCACGGGAAGGCUACAAUCCCCCUCAUGUACUAUCCAGAUUGUGCUACACCUCAUUUUGAUGAUACCCAAAUUAAUGAAGUUCUCAAAGAGUGGAGUAAAUAUGCAUAUGAAAAUUAGGUCACAUCCAAUAUAAGGUGAUAAUAUGUAGUUAGUCUAGGACUAGAUUAGUUUAGU